UCUCUUGCGAUUAUAAAUCUUUGCAUUUUUGAAUUGAAGUUUGGUUGAUAUAUGUUAUUUUGUUUUGUUCAUGGAUAUGUGGAUACAAAUGGAGUUGCUAAUCUUCAAAAAGGAAUUAAGAGAUUAAUGAGCAGUGAUGAAUGACUAAACGUUUCCCGAUCGGUACUGAUUAUUGAAUUACCAUAUUCAGUGACCAAAAAUCUUUUAAUGACCUUAUAUUGUGUAUCUGAGCCUUUUUUAUUUGGUAUAUUUUUCCCUGCUAAUUGAUUAAGAUUUGAUCAUAAAAAAAUUUGACUUGGUGAUAUGAUUCUAAAAAUUCCUAGUACUAAAUUGUCAAUGGCAUGACAGACUCUUUUUACCUAAAGAAAAUUCCUUGGUGAAUUAAGUCAUGAAGAUGCUAUAAUACCCAAUGAAACAGCAAACCAACAGUUGGGCUUCAGGUAGAUUGAGUUUAUCAUGCAAGGUACCAUUCUUGCAAGAAAAUUUAACAGUCAUGAAACCAAUCUCAUAAAAUCUAACUUAACAAAAUCUGAUAUAUAAAGCGAUUAAUGAUAACAUUCAUAGAGAAAUAGUGUUAUUAUGCAGCAGUAGACACCAUUUCGGUUACUCUGACCUGGAAUUUGAAAGUGAAUGUAUUUAAAAUUCAUAUUGAUCUUUGCUUUGAUUUUUGCUCGCAGGCAGUGGUGCAGAUGUUUGAGAAUGCAUUGGAUCUGUUCGAAGAUAAUCCUUCAUUGUAUGGAUCAACUUUGGCUGUUGACACAACCGGUGGUGGUUGCGGCAGUGGACUGGUAGCAUUGGUGGCGGCGACGGACUGGUGGUGGACUGGCGACGGUGAUGGUGACGUGGUGGUGGUUGUUAGUAGGUGAUGGUCGUUGAGCGGUGGUGGUGGUGGAGACGUGGUGGUGGUUGUUAGUAAGUGAUGGUGGUUGAGCGGUGGUGGUGGCGGAGGUGAAAUGGUAGAAAUUUUCUUUUGUUAUAUUUUGAAAAAAAAAAAAAAAAUCAGAUAGUGAGGUUUCUAAAUGAUAGGGUAUAUUUAUUGUUGUGCAAGGUUUUUAAUCUACCACAGAUGAAUCACAGACUGUGUCGCACAUAAUACAAACCCACUUCAUUUCAAAACU